CUAAAAAAAGGUUUGAUGAAACACCUCAGGACAAGAACGAGAGACAAUUUGUGGUCAGCAUUUACAUUUCAUUUAGACAAGGCAAGUCUGGAUUCUAGACCAGUUCAUGCUGAUGACAACAAAUUCCUCACAUUGGUGUCAAAGCAUGUCUCGAAAGCAAAUAAAAUGGGACAGAAAUUGAGGAGAUCUAUCUUAUGCUCAAUUAUUUUAAUGAAUUGAAAUUUACAGGUGCAUUUUCCCUAAAUCUGCCAAAAAGAGCCAUAGCGAAGAAGGGAUAUCUGUUAAGUUCCAUACGGUGGAUUUCGCCUGAAUUCACUCUCCUUGGCAUAAUGCAAUGCACAUGACUCCAUGUUAAAUUUGGAGAAAGAUAUCUGCUAUGUCAAUGUGCACGAGGCAUUUAUCUGACCUCAAUAGACCAAAGGCAGCAGGAGCCAGGAGACCUUGGCCCUAUAAACCCAGUGAGCAUGCAUGGUGUGGUUGCACUAGAGUUGGAAGAAUGUGUUCUACGUGGAGCACUACUCUUUGAAAAAAUACCUUUGCUUUAUGUUGGAUUAACAAAAUAGGUGGAACGUCAUUUCAUUUAGAUCGACUGAAGACAAUUUGUCCAUGCUAGUUUUGUCCAGUAGUUAGACAUUAAAUGAAGUAAAAUAACUCUAGGUGUAACUAUAAUUAAAAAAUAAUACUGCAGAAUAAAGACUACCCAAAGCUAAUACCUUGUUCAUGUCUGCCUGUUGUUAAAUUUACAUAUUUCAGCUAUACAUCCAGUUUUAUGUCAAGUUUUGGCCUUUAAAUGAAAUGAUACCAUAGUGCUGGUUCAGAUAGAGGCGGUAAAGCUCACCAAAUUGCUGAAAGAUAGUCCUGCAUUUUCUCAAACUCUCGUCGAUCUUAGGAAAUUUCAUGAUGACACUGUUCAAUGAUUUCACUGAGGUUCCUUUUAAUGCUCUCUGCUGCAUGGCUUCAACCAUCUUCUUCUCUAACUUAGAUGCCGGCGAGGUGUGCCUUGGUGAGUCACCACUAAUUACACCUCCCAUUUCCGCAAUUUCGACGAUCUUGUAUGGUGCCAAAACCUCCUUGCUUGGACCUGGAGACGUAAGUUUUACUCAUGGUAGACGAAGAAAUUUACACUACCGCCAGUCCGCCACGAUGAAAGGCACUGGCCACAAAAACUGUAAAAGACUGCUUGGCAGAUAUCCUUUAGAUCAAGAGACGAAACAAGGAGAUCUAAGAACCAUGAUGAUCUUGUCGUCCUCAUAAAUGUAUCAAGUUAUUGACAUAGUAAAUUUAACUUGUAUCAAUCAAAUUAUGUAGAAAACAGGUGACGAUGGAAGCAGCGUGCAUUCAAAUUAUAUUUUUUUAAAAUACAAAACGUGUACCAUUUGUGACAUGCAACAAAAGAGCACCAGCACUGAUAGCGGCAAAAAAAUUAUAUAUGAUGCCUGUGGCAUUCCACCAGAAAGUACCCUCAAACGAAACCGAAGGGUUUCACGUGGCGAAAACAAUAGGCUUUCCCUUGUUUUAAAAGAAAAAGAAAAGAACAACUGAUGUUACAAAUCAAAGAAAAAGGAAAGAAGAACUAAUGUUGCAACUGGAGGCCACCGACUAACUACACCGAUCGACGCAGCAAACGAGUCCGCACCGAACCACCGGAGAAAGAACAUUUGGAAGGAACUGGACAAUUCAGGGCAGCAGUGAAAAGAUCGAUAUCCCCCGGCACAAAAGGAACGAUCUUUCCAGUUUCCACAAAAGUGCACACCUGCCUGCCACAGGACCGACAAGGAAAGUUGGAUAGCAUCCUUACCGAGGAGAAAUCCAAGUCCGGAUGGAUCUCCAGCACUAACUCCACCGGCAGGGCCGAGGGGCGAUCGACGGGGUCACGGGGGACGCCUGCGCCUGCGGGCGGGUGGUGGAGGGAGGGGACCGGGAAGGGAGGCGCGGGUUGCGCAUACGGUGGGAGGGGAGGGGAUGGGAUGGGAUGGAGAGAAGGAGAAGCAGAGGCGCGUCCGGCGCCGAGGGCGGUGGGCAGCCUACGAGAGCAGAUGCCCCGGUGAAACGCAUGCGCGCGGCGCGCCAAUGUUCUUCCUCCUGCUACAUGCUGACGAUGAUGACGUGAAUUUUCAAAAAUGUCAUUUUAAACUUAAGGGAUGUUUGGUUUUUAGAAACUAAUUUUUUAGUCUAUAUAUUUUAUUUAUUUUAAUCUAUAAAUUGAUAAAAACGAAAAUAAAACUCUAUUUUAGUUUUCGUAUUUAAUAAUUUAGUGACUAAAAUAAAAAUAAAAUAAAAAAAACUAAAAAUAAGUUUUAAAAUCAAACACCUCUUUAAUUAAGAAGCAGAACCCGGUCGGUCUACGUUAAGAGAGCCCCACUAGCAAACGUCCUAGUCUCAAAACAUAACGCAUACAUCUAUUUUAAAACCUAAACUUUGUUAUUUUAUCACCAAAAUAGUAUAGCAAUAUGUUGGAUGAAGGAACAUCAAAAUAAAAGUGGUGCAACACUGAAGCAAAAUAUUCAGCCGUUUUAAAUCUUAACAUGGCUAAACGAUCCAACUCAAAUUUAAGCUCAUUAACGAGUCAAAUCGAGCUGACCCUUUGAUCUAAUUUCUUAACGAGACGAACUGGUUAACAUCAUAUCUCAAAUUUGAACGAGCCGAAUCAAACUAGCUUUUAAUAUACAUCCCUAUACCCUACCUAGUGGUAGGGAUCAACCGACUUCCACUUAGACAAUCAGGAUUUUUUUAAAAAAAUUAUAUCCGUCGUUCCGUAGACGUUCAGUCUACAUUUGAAUUCUUUCGACCGAAAUAUAUUUCAAAUUUAGAAUUAUUUAAAUAAAAAGGGGAAAGUUACGGUCGAACAGGCUAACGUAGGCCCACCUCCUUGCCCCAAGAGGCAUGUUCACCGGCUGGGCCGUAUUUUUCUACACAGGUAUCAACCCAAGUGACCUCCUCUCUUUCCCGGCUCCGGUCGCGAAUGCGCGAUGCGUUCUCUCCUCCUGCCCCGCAGGUGCGCCUUCGCUUCGCGGCGCUUCCUCUCCGCGCUCGCCGGCAGCGGGGCUAGGGCCCCGUGCGCCGGCGUUGUGUACGGGUUCGGGGAUAACAGCCAUGGCGCGGUGGGCCAGCCUCCACCGGCUGCCCACGCCUACGUGCCCACGCCCGUGCCCUCCCUCCCGCCGUCCGUGAGCGCCGUCGCCGCCGGUCACUACCACUCCCUCGCCGUAUCUGCCGCCGGAGAGGUCUGGGCGUGGGGGCGCAACGACGAGGGCCAACUCGGCCGCGGGCUUCACUCCCCGAGGUGAUCUAAAACUCAUCUUUGCUAGCUCAAGAAGAUUUGGAGUGCUCAAAUAACUUGAGUCCUCUUUGUACAUAUAUCAUGAGAAGCUAGUGUAAUGUAGCAUCGGGUAAAUAAUUGAUGAAAGUAGCACAAGCAUGACCCUCGAGGUGAAAGCAUUACUACAUGGUGGUUACAUGAUUACACGACAUGUGUGGAUUUGGAAGCACAAAGCACUAUGUUGUGUGCUUAUGCAGUUCAGUCAGUAAUGUGUAUGCUACACAUCAACCAGGAGAGAGCAUCACUGACUUAGGAAGAACAAAAAUAUAAAGAAAGAGACCCUGUGAUUGUUGGAACAAGGUCCACUGACGUUCGGGAGGGGUCACUAACGUGUGGGCCCCAUGUGCGACAGGGUCCACGUGCAGUGAACCAACUGCACGGUGCAGUACGUCAUUGUUAGGAUCUUUACUUUAAGCCACUUUUUGGUGGCUUAGGCUUCUGGCCUAAAUGACUUCAGCUCUACUGUUUUUGGUUUCAAAAGUCGUUGUUGUGUGUGCACGUUUGGUAGGGCUUUUGAUUAAUCCGAUGGAGAAGCCCAACAAAAGCCCUGCCAAAGAGGGUCUUAACGUGGACCGUGCUUCUUUUAAUGGUUUCAGUUGUGUGUUUUUGAUAAUUUCAUAUUUUCCGCUAUCAAGAGUAUUAACACUUUGCCCACUCUACCUAAUGGAACUGUCUAUCAGAAUUUUAUUCCUUAGAACUUAACCAUUAAUGAUUGUUUCCUUGUCCUUACGCAGUGUUACUUAUCAAGGCUAUGCGUAAAACUAUUCAACUAUUUCACUAAAUGACAGGAAUACUUGGAGCAAUGCAGAACUGGUCAGAGGAUUGGAAAAUGUUCAGGUUCAAGCUGUAUCUGCUUCAGGCGUUGUUUCAGCAGCAAUAGGAUCUGAUGGUUCCCUAUGGGUUUGGGGGAGGUCAAAGCGUGGCCAACUUGGACUUGGGAAGGACAUUGUAGAGGCAGCAGUGCCAUCUAAAGUGAAAGCUCUUGCUAGCUACGACAUUGUUAAGGUGCUAAUUUUCUCACAGAAAUUUAAUAAAUUGAUUGGUGAUGACGUUAACUGAAGGAAUAACGUUAGGUAUCAUUUGGAUGGGGGCAUUCCAUGGCACUGACAAAGGAUGGAAAGCUAUUUGGUUGGGGCUACUCGGAAAAUGGAAGGUUAGGAGAAAUGGGCCAAAGCACUAGAGCUCUUUCUGCAGAAGAAUACAUAGGAAAAACGGUAGACAAGUAUUCUAGUGUAAUGCUGGAGGCUGUUGAAAAGAUGGUUGAAGAGAAAAUUCAGAGUGAAGACGAUAUGCCCAUUAUCUGGGAACCAUCCCUUGUUCAUGAAGUGAGUCGUCUUGAGGUGUCUGAUGUGUCUUGUGGGCUUGACCAUUCCUUGAUUCUCUGCUGUGAGUAUUUCUUUCUACUACAAACGGAACUCCUUGCGUGUCAUUUGUGAUGGAUAAUGCUUUUCUUAUUCUUUUAUGCUGAGCACGUGGUAACCAGAGUCAAUAAAACUAUGCUGUAAUGUUGCUUCAAUAAUAUUUGAUGUGAUCAAACAUUGGAAAUAUCUUGUACUGCGGAUGCAAAUAGUACAUGUUUUAGAUAAUAUUUGGUUAUUUACCUGUCAUUAUCACAUCUUGACAAAUCUUACUUGGUCCUAUUACAGUUCAUUGUAUGGACAAUUUAACAUACAAUGCAAGUAGCUGUACAUUUGUUAAUGUUACUUAUAGGAUCAACAUAGAAAAAGUUAUGUCAUCUUAACCUCAUAGGAAACAGACUACAAGAAAAUGAAAAACGGUGAGAAUCUAUCAUUCUCAAAUUAGCCUUUUUGGUUAUUCUUAUUUUCAAAUCUCUAUCUCCCACUCUCAUAUGGAUUCUGUAAUUUUCCAGCUGAUGGCAUUGUACUGAGCGGUGGUGACAACACUUAUGGACAGCUGGGUAGGAAGGCCGGGCCACCCGAAUUGCUUCCUGUUGGCAUGAGCUAUAGGCCAUUCUCCAUGUCGGCAAGUGUCGGCCACUCUCUUGCACUAUGCUACACAACGACUGAAGGCACCGCUGGUGUGGAAACUGGCCUCCUCUCAUGGGGAUGGAACUGCAGCUCCCAGCUCGGACGGUCCAGCCAAGAGGACAUCCCUGCACUGGUGGACUCUCUGAGCAGGGAGAGGCUGGUAUCGGCCUCGGCUGGUCGAGUCCAUUCGGUUGCUCUCACGUCGAAAGGUGAAGUUUGGACCUGGGGAUCGGGCAGGAAUGGCAGGCUAGGCCUGGGCAGCUCCAUUGAUGAGGCGGCGCCAUGUCUUGUAGAUACCCUGGAAGGGGUGGAAGUCUUGCAAGUUGCAGCAGGGAUGGACCAUAAUCUCCUCCUGGUUGCCGAGUAGGUAUAGGUUGGUAUGCUGGUGAACUGAAAGAUGGUACUCCAUUUGUUCUUAACUAGCUGAAUGCUCGUGCGUUGCAACGGAAAUAUAUAAUACCAGUAUACUACGAUAACUUAUAUACAAAAUGUGUGUUAUACCGUUAUAAGAAAAUGUUUCAUAAUCAAUUUGUGAUUCUGGCCAUACAUAAAUUUUGUUAUUUAUAAUCUAUCUGUUCACCACUACAUUGCAACCAUCAGUAUCAUGCAGACUUCAAUAUAUGUCACGAUUUGCAUGGUCUCAUCAUUGGAGAGCACGUUUCACACAUACCGGAAGAAAUUCCCUCGUACAUCGUUAGUUAUCAGACACGUACCACUAUACGCUUUUGCUUAAACAAAAAAGGCAAGUGUGUGUUUGCAAAGAGAAUUAAAGGCAAGCCGGCACAAAAGCUACCCCAACGGUGACGAGGAUGACGAACUGGUCAUUAUUGUCGGUCCUCCUCUGCGUCACCUCUGGUGCCAAGAUGACGCCACAGUCCUCGAUAUAGUAGUCGUCGAACGCGCGCGACAUACCGAGUACUGAUGACUCUUGGCUGGGCUGUAAAACAAAGUGUUCCCCGGGCUCAUCAACAAGGUAGUACCCCUAGCCGUUGCACCACCGGAUGCGCUACUCAUCUACAUACAUCGUGUUCGAGGACACUCAUACAACGUCAGCAACGGCCAUCGUCUCAGCGCACAAGAAUUCAUGGCCAGUUAGUAGCGACUUACAUGGCAGGUUGGGUUUCAGGUGGACGACGAGCCGGACGACGUGAUGGCGUCGUCGUCGAAUGCGGUGUCCAGAACAACCCGAGAGUCGCCGACGUUGGCGACGACCAUGAGGUCCCCCUGCUUGACGAUGGACAGCGCGGAGCAGCCGCUCUGCACCGCGUCCAAGCGGCGGCUGCGCCGGAGCUUGUCGUACAUAGCGUCACAUGCGGCCACGUAUGACUGUUUCUAGAGGUCGAACUGGCAGUCGCCAAGUUUCUUCUUGUCGUCGAUGAGCGACCCCAACACGAGUGUCUCCUGCUAAUGGUGUUUGUUCAGGGUUUUCAAGUAAGAAACAUGGAUUCAUGUUUGACGUUGGUUUAUAAAAAUGACUCACAAGUCAGAUCAAUGGAAAAAAUAUUACGAAGAAUAAAUAUCACGCAUGCAAAAAAGAAAUUUAAGUUGAAAACAUUAUUCAAGCAAAAGAAAUUGCAUGCAAGACUCUUUUUUAAAUACUACUCCCUCCAUCCAAAAAUAUAAUUGAAUAAUCUCGGUGAUACUUAUCUACUACCACGCAUUGUGCAAGGGUAGCAGGUGGACUUGGGGAGAGAUAUAGUGGAUGUGUUUUCUGGUAUAGAUGUAGAUAUAAACACACAUAUGGUGUAGUGGUAGCUACUGCUAUUAUUUGUUUGAGAGGUCUUGGGUUUGAAUCCCCUUGGGGCUAUCUGUAUUUUUAAUUUUAGCUAGGCGUCAGCUGUACGGGGGAAUGUGACUCAUAGGAAUGGACGACUGUGCGCGGGGAGGAGGGAACACGUAAUGAGCAGAACGCGGAAUGGCCGACUAUUAUUGCAGUUUUAAUAAGUAGUAGAGAUUAUAGGACAUUUUUGCUUUUUUAGAUUCAUAGUUUUUGCUACAUAUUUAGAUAUACACCUUGUCUAUAUGCAUAAUAAAAAUGGUGUAUUUAGAAAAAAAGAAAACACCUUAUAAUUUGAAUCGUUUGGAGUAUAGUUGUUAGUUGAGGCAACGACUGAUAUGCAAGCAGUGCUUCUAUGCAAGCGUGAAAGCAAACCAUCUGAUCCAUUAGAUUACGAUCCAACCACAGAUACAACCAUGGUUUGUUAAUAAUUUUUUUAUAAAGAUUAUUGAGCUGGUGGUGGAAGGAUUUAAGUGUUAAAUGUGACUUACAAUUGGAUCACGAUUUAAUGGAUCAGAUGGUUUGCUUGCACGCUUGCACAGAAGGACUGCUUGUAUAGCCGUUGUUGUCGUUAGUUGAACGGGUAUCAUAGUCUGUCUGAAGAGGAUGAAAGUUGACGCCAUCUUUUCUUUCUCGAAGGGUUAUGGCCAGGAAAGCGGAUGUGUUUUUUUUAAGAGAAUGUGUGUAUGCGCAUUGCUACUUGAUAUUGAUAGACCGCAUCUGAUCUUGUUGGUCACUCGUCCGUUUAUACUUCAUCCGUUUUAAAAUAAUUAGAUUUAAGAAAAAAAUAUUAGUUUUUGUAUUUUGGAAAAUCUCUAUUUGAUAUCUUAAAUUUUAGUGUUUUUAUAUAUUUUUUGGUUAAACUUAAGAUCGGUUGACUCCUCAAACUGAAAUAUGUUCGCUUAUUUUGAACAUACGGAGUUGUCAAAAUUACAAACUUCUAUGCAAUCUUGGUCUAUCAACAUAGGCUAAUUAAGGUCUCGUUUGGUUUGUGGGAAACUAAAGUUUAGUGACCGAAGUUUAGUCACUUUUAAUCUCAAAAAAUAAACAUGAUGACUAAAGUGGGGUGACUAACUUUAGUUCUUUAGUCACCAGGAGGAUGACUAAAAGAGACUAAAGUAGGAUUUUUACCUUAUUUGUCAUCUUUACUUUCUUCUUGCAGCAAACAUCUACUAAUUAAUAGGAGCAAUACAAUCAUUAUUCACAGCAAUUAAUGUUAUUUAGUUCGGUUUAGUCAGUGGAACCAAAUGUGAUACUUUAGCGUUAAUCACUAAAGUUUAGUCUAGUGACCAAAGGAACUAAACUGGACCUAAAAAGAUAGAGCGUCUACUAACAAAUAAACACAAAAGGAUACCAUACUAGAUUCAGAUGAUUCCAAAAUUGCCACCAUAAGGUAAGGGUAUGGUUUUAUAAAAAUCUAAAAUAAAUCUUCAAUGAUUUUUCUAAAAUUGGCUUUUUUGGGGUAACUUUACUAUAAUAAAGAAAUAAUUGGAUGCUUUUUUUGAAAAAAAAAAUUACUAUAAUUUUUUUUGGUAAAGUUUUUUUUUGACCUAGAACUAUUAAUAUUGUCUGAUUUACUCUUGUCGCGGGUGACGUGGCACCGCACAGAAUAAAACUAACUGAUUGGAGUAGGGUUUCCUUUUGAGAGAGAACAAGUUGGAGGAGGUGUGAGUGUCUUCCUUCGAUCCAGGCCGCAGCGCUCCUCUCUCAAACGGCCCAAGCCCAAAAAGGCUGAGAUCUCAGAGUAGAGCCCACUCGUCGGGCGCGCACGCACGCACGCCGUGAAGACGACGACAGAGCCCAAGUCGAAGCGAGCGGUUUUGCCGGCGGCGGCGGCGACCGGAGGAUGGGGAUGGGAGGCCGGGGCGUGGUGGGAGACAGGUGGUCGCAACGCAUUCUCUGGAUCUGCGCCCUGGGCAGCGCCGUGAGUAAGCGCCCGUACCUAAAAAAACCCUAGCCCCUGCUGCUCUGCUCCUUUCAUUCCGUCGCGGUCUUCCCCUAACCGCUUCUCCCCGUUGCCGCGGUCUCGCUGUGCUGGUGCUUCCGUACAGGCAUCUACUUUGUGGCGGUGGAGAGGCAGGCGCAGAACCGCGCGCGGGCGGUAGCGGAGGGCCUCAAGGGCCUCGACGGCGCAGGGGAUGACGUGUGACAGAGCUGGACGCUGCCGUUGCAGAGGGGCCUCCUUUGUUUAGGUUAUUAAAAUGAGCCACUUUUUUUUUUCUGCUUCACAUGUUCACAGAACUUCGUAGCGUUGCAAUAAUAAUGUACUAAACAUCUGUGCCCGGUCUUUGUAGAAAGGAAUGUUGAUCAAUGUGGGUGUUCUCCUAUGUCACUUAAUCCAUCUGAGCCUCUGUUGCUGCACAGAAACGUAGGGCGUUUUUUUUUAUUUCACACGAUUUGUCCAUUUAAGGAUCCAAUACAAUACAUACGACAAAAAUAUCGAUAUGGAAGUGAAGAAAAUUUACUGUGCUCUUAUCGAAAUUACUUUAAGCCUGAACAAUGCAGUAGCGUUCUGGUUUUUAUACAUGCAUUAAUGCUACAGCUGUACUAAAAUCUGUAUAUAAAAUCAUGGAGUAAAAUACAUUUCCGCUCCUUAAACUUGUCGCCCUAUGUCAUUUAGGUCUACAAACUUUUAAAGUAUGUCAGUCUGGUUCUUAAUCGUUGUUUGGGUCUCAGUUAAGUCUAAACAUGUCGUGGCUGACAUAUGGACCUCACAUGUCAGCCUGUGCAUCUCGUUUCUCUUGAAAAUUACUUCUCCGAUCAUCCUUCUUGGUCGUCCAUAAUUUUGAAAAGUACUUCUCCAAUCACAAGAUGCUGUUUUUUUUUCUUUGAUGCAUGUAUCUCGAGCUUUAUUGACCAGUUUCCACGGAUAAGCUUAGAUAUGUUUAUGCCUGAAAGACUAUCAGUUGAUCAUACAGUCUUUGUUGCCUUUGCAUUUCUUUGUCAUUCCCCCCUAUCUAGUACCAUAUCUAACACCAAAAUGCUACUGAUGCAGAAUUGAAGAAUUCAUGUUUAGGAACUUAAUUGCACUUAAGCUACUUGUGUUUCUAAGUCACGCAAUCAGAAGAUGGCUUAUAAUAAAAUCUGCAAUGAUGGCGGUUAUGGACACUCACCCUUCUAGAUGCUGUUAGUGUGGGUGUGUUUGGUUGUAAUGACGUGAUAGGAUAGGACAAUCUCUUAAAUAAGAUUGUUUGGUUCAGGGUUCGGACAGAACUAUUCCAGUAUUGUCUCUUAAAAUUAGAGAGACGAGAGAGGACGCUAGAGGAUGUCCAUGUCCUGUCUGUCACUAGUUGUCCCGCAACCAAACACAUCCUUUGUGUUUUUCUUUCCUAUUUUUCAACCUUCCUCUUUUGCACCCCCUCUCCUCACUAAUGAACCACAAAGGUUGAUGUCGCAAUCAGCUUGAUGCAGUGCAUGAUCUUCCUUGCUUGGACACUGCCUCGAGUCACCGGAUAAUGCCCAUUAAAACUGUUUAGGUCUUGUUCGGCUGCGUCUGAACGUAAGGAGAUUAAAUUCUCUUCUAUUUAAUUUUAAUUAAAAUUUUUUACAUUUAAUUUUGACUAUGAAUAGACUUAAUCCUCCUCAAUCCCUUUGAUCUAGACGCAGCCAAACAGACCUAAGACGACCGGUACAUUUAUGAUAAGGACAUUAAGAAAAAAAUUAACUGAGAAAAGGUAAGGGAAUCUAUGUAAGGUAUCACAUUUCUAUUAGGUAUCUUAGCUGACCAUUUUUUUUUCUCUUCGGUUCCGGUAAGAUGAGGGAGCUCCGCCGGCUACGCUAAACCUGGAGGAGCUGUUGACGCCGCUAUUUGGGGGCCCAAGAAGGCGCCGAUACGAGCGGCCAUCUCCAACCCUUUCCGGUGCUCUGCUGUCUGCUCCUCGCUGGAAGUGAAGAGGGCGUACCGGAAUAUUCAGAAACGUUCCGGAGUAAAACAUCGGAAGGCACCGCCCGCGUUUCGCCUCGGCUUCGGGGCUCCGACGCGCGCGCCACGUUCCGUUUCCUUCGCUUGCUCUGCUCAUGCGUUUUUUGCUUCCGCUGCCGUGCAAACCGUUUAACCGCUAAACAACAGUUCUUCAGGUUUUUCUUAAGUGUUUAGGUUUAGUUAAACUCUGUUUUGUUAAUUCUUUUUGAAUAAAACGGAAAGGAAAAUACGGAAAUUCGAGUACAGGGGGCAUGUUCCCUUUGGAGUGGACACACCUUUGGCGUAAAAUCUGUACUGCUACUGCCUACUAACGUGUCCAGCGUAAACAUUACUUGAUCUGCGUUGGAGAAAGCAGCUCGAAGCCAAAGCUAGGUACUUGGCAACUAAAAGAUUCUCCCCUAUAUAUAUAGCGCCUCGUACCUAAAUACCUAAAUGUUAUGUCCAGCAGCCCGUGUAAACGGUUAUAUAAGGUACUAUUUGCACUGUUUGCAAAGUAAAGUUUAAAAUAGUGAGUAAGAUAUAUAGUAGGAUAGAGAGUCUGUUGGAGAUACUCUAAAGACUAUCCCCGUGACAAUAGUUUAAUGAAUAAGUUUCGAGUACACCACAUUAAAUACUGCAGGGCACUCGAGGCCACUAUAUAGUGCAUGUGUUGAUCCUAUAAUCACCGGAAAGUACAAUAAAUUGUAAGAGAUUAUACUGACAACCAAUCACCAGAGACCAGCAAGCCCGGGUCUCGAAAGUUGAUGUCACAUGUUAUAAUAUCAAUCUCGGUAGUCGAUAUGGCGAUCCCCUUGCAAAGUGACAACUACAAUAACGCUUAUAUUAAAUGUGAGCAAUGGCAUAUUGGCAUUACAAGUUCGCCUUCGCCCUAACGAUGCGUACAUAUAGAAGGUAGGUGUAUCCAACGCUAUUGGACAAACAUACUUUAAUAUUUAUCACUUUAUUCAUGAAGGUGAUCCUACCUACCAGAGGAUUAAGAGAAUCCUUAUAACUAACACUAGGCAAUAUGUCGGCUCUUACUUGUGAUAAAGGUACAAGGAAUCAUACUAGAUCCAUUAAGUCACCUUCCUUACUCUAGGCUGGCUUAAUGACAUGUAGGAACCAUAGGAGGUAUAUGCAUAUAAAAUUGUCACCUCUUUGAACUAUAAAAGGGGUAGAACACCAUUUAGUUUAAGUUUAGACAUCUAACUCCCAUAAGGAUCCACAACAAAAUCCACCAAACCCAAACCAAAAAAUUGAAGACAAUUCGGUCAGGACUGCAAUAGUGAGAGUUAGUCCAUCUUCUCCCAUAUGACUCAUCUUCAAGGAAGUGUUGCGCCUGUUGGGCUAGGGCUUGUAAUCUUGGCAUACCAUAUACACUCAAUAAUCCAUGAUCAGUACGAAGUUGUAGUGUAUUAAAAACGCUGCGGCCUAAGCCUCUAUAAAAAUUCUUGUGUAUUAAGUUGUCGAUGUGCAUGACAUUGUGGAUAUAAUUUAGGGUUUAGGGCUUACCCUCUUCCGUGUUAGCAAUCCUUUCUUGGGUACUUCUGGUACCCUAAUGUCUUUGCUAUGACAACUAGGGAUGAGGAUGAAAAUGGUCGAAAACAUAUACUUAUUUGGAUAUCAUUUUUUGUCGUUUUCUUGAUUGCGAAUAAAUAGGAUACGUAAUCUGCUAUACAAAUUCAUAUUCUUAAUUAUAACAUUGAGCUUGUAAAUAUUUAUAAAAGAUAAACCUCAAAUUUAUCAUAUAUUUUCUCAAAUGAUAGAUAUAAAAUUCGGAUACAAAUUUCGAUAUUUAUUCACAUUUUUUGUUGUUGUAGAGAACAAACAAUGCAUAAGACAAUUUAUACAAAAUGUUAUUCUUAUUUAUAAUAAUAUGCUGGAUAACAUAAGAAAAUACCAACAUCGAAUUUUAUGUAUAUCUACUUAAAAUAUUAAAUUUAUUUGAACAAUUUGGAUAUCCACUUUUAUCCCUAACGACAACGUAAAACAAAAAAACUAAGAUUGCAUUCAAACUAAUCUCCAUGUUGGAACGGGUUAUUGUAGAAAUUGAUUAAUUUUCAUGUCAAUCUAUCCCAAACCAUAUAGAUUAGGACAAAUACGAAUAUCAUAUGUGUAACUUGUUGCCCUCGACUCGUGAUACCCAAUAUUUCUAAACUUUAAUAUCUAUCCACAUUAUUGUGUAUCAGACCCGUUCAAACGUCGGAUUGAGUUCAGGUCGGGUAAGGUUGGAUUGUGGGCCAUUUACUACGGCCCGUACUCGACCUAUGACUAGCUAGUCUUGGGUCAGAUCGGGUUAGCUCGUGUCUUUCUGUUUGACGUUUCAAGCCAGGGUUUUUUCAGGUCUGCUUUUUGGCUUUUGGUCGGAUUUUUUUGAAUUGGGUUGGGGUUUGAGUCAAAAAAAACCACGGCCUAUACCAGCCUGUAAAUUAUUGCGGGUCAAAAUAUCCGUUGCAUUAAUCGGAUCGAGUCGGGUCGGAUGGGCUAUGAUGAGAUCUAAGAGGAUACAUCAAUACUACGGACUAUCUCUAAUAGUCACCGUAUGCAGAUAUGUAUUUUGAACAGUAUCAAUGGGAGCGUGUAAACGAGAGAGCGUUUUUUAGGAGAGCACGCAUGCAAAUAGAUUUGUGAAGAAGUGAGAAAUUGUAGAUUUGGGAUAUACGGAUGGUGAUGGCAUAUUAAUAAUGUUUGUUGGAGAUGCUCUAUCAGCUUAUAAAUAGACAGGGUGUCUGUUUAUACAGGAGUGCUAGUCUUCACGGCGGGGUUGUUGUCGCUUGUGGCCAGCCGCCAGCACCAGCACAAGGCGAUCGAGAGUGGUGACCACCAGUAAACUGCAAAGUGCAAACCAAACACCACCCACGAGAAAGCGGAGGAGGGAGCAAUGGCGGAGCCGAGCCAGCAGCUGCGGUCGUUCGUGGAGGUGCCGGCGGGCUCCCACUUCCCCAUCCAGAACCUGCCCUUCGGGGUCUUCCGCCGGCGGGGGGUGCAGGCGCAGGCGCCGCGCCCCGCGGUGGCCAUCGGGGACUUCGCGCUCGACCUCGCCGCCGUCGCCGACGCGGGGCUCUUCGACGGGCCCGCGCUCUCCGGCUCCCCGUGCUUCCACCAGGUGCCUGCUCUGCUCCUCAACCCUUUGAUUUGUUUUGAUUGCUCUGCAGUGACGGACGGACGGAUGGUAUGAGCUUGAUUUUAGCUUCUCCGACUCGUGAAUGGGUGUUGGUAUCGGUUGCAGCGUGGAAAUAGUUAAUUGAGGAUCUAAGGAAACUGGUCUGGUAGUGAGUAGUGACUAUAGAGUAGAAAAUAACUGGUGUCCUUGGUGCUGCAUGCAGGAGACGCUCAACAUGUUCUUGGGGAUGGGCCGGCCGGCGUGGAGGGAGGCGCGCGCCACGCUACAGAAAAUCCUAUCAGGUUCCGAGUCUUCUUCUGUUUAGCCACACAAUUAGGAAAAGUAUCAAUAUAAAGAAGAAGUAAGAACAAUGUGCUUGUUUUUUUUCAUUCUUUUUCUUUGUUGCUUUGCAGCCGACGAGCCCGUCUUGCGUGACAACGAAGCACUGAGGAACAAGUGUCUGGUACCAAUGGUGAGUUUUUUUUAGUCUGUCUUCCCGUCUCUUCUGAGGGUAAUAACAAAGGAUCAUUGACUAAAUCAUCGCCAAUGCUCUGCUUUGGCAAUGCAGAGUGAUAUAGAGAUGGUUCUACCAAUCACGGUUGGAGGUUACACGGACUUCUUUUGUUCUGUGCACCAUGCAAUGAAUUGUGGAUUCAUCUUCCGAGGGCCGCAGACUCCAGUCAAUCCAAAUUGGUAUGUGUUUUCUCGGAUAAUGUGCUUUGUUGGCAUUUAGGGGAGCAAAAGCAGUAUGUUAAUCAGUUGAGAUCAGAUCCUGUUGUCUGAAUAUUCUUGCUAAGUUACUGUAGUCAUGAGCUGGUUGUUAUGUUACUAUGCUCAAUCUUCAUGGUAAUGAUUAAAUAUCUCAAAUGCUUUGCUGCAUGCCAUUGUUUACUCUACUUUUGUUCUCGUUACUUCAUUGAUGUGACCCAGUUGUAACUAACUUACAAUGUACAUUUUGUCAAUUCAGGUUUUAUCUUCCAGUAGGAUACAAUGGGCGAGCAUCAUCUAUAGUUGUGUCUGGAACCAAUGUCAUUAGGCCCAGGUGUGCAUCCCAAAAUACUUGUUAAAACGAGUCUUAACUGUUGUUUCAAGCUUGAAACCUUUAUUUUGUGUGCUGCCUGUUGCUCUUUUGUUUAAUUAUUUCUCUAUUUUUAGGGGACAAGGACAUCCAACAGGAAACUCCGCUCCUUAUUUUGGUCCCUCGCAGAAGCUUGAUUUUGAGCUUGAGAUGGUUAGCUUCUUACUAACCCUAGACCCCAUGUACUUACUCUCUUUUGUGGUUGUAAUUGGCCUACCUACCUAAUUAAGCUGUCGAGUCACUUUCAGUAAUUGUUUUUUUCUCAUUAAGCGGUAAGGUCACUUUCAGCUAUUAUUAUUUUCCCCACACACUUUCAGUUAUCAUUGGUAUAUGAUUAUCAAUUAUGGGACUAGUAUAGGUAACUGUGGUUUAUUUCAGUGACAAUUUUCUUUAUUCACUGUAUUAUAUCAUAAUAAUUGCUGGCUUGUUGCUUUCAGGCUGCCAUUGUUGGUCCAGGGAAUGAAUUAGGCAAACCUAUUGAUAUUAAUGACGCCGAAGAACAUAUUUUUGGCCUAACUUUGAUGAAUGAUUGGAGUGGUAUUCUGUUCUUUUCAAUUUUCAGCUGUUUAAGAUUAACAUCCAUGAUGUGUUUAAUACUGAGUUGCAUGUAAUAUGCCAGCCAGAGAUAUCCAGGCUUGGGAGACUAUACCUCUUGGACCUUUCCUUGGGAAAAGCUUCAGUAAGACACUUGAUGCCCUUAAUGAAACUUUAGGUUUUCUAAACAAAUCUUAAGGGCCAUGCUUUAUAAACAAAAAAAGUUAGAAGUCCUGCAAGCUUAACAUAUGCACUUCCGUCAUUUUCCCUUUUGGGCUCCAUAUUUCAGUUGUGACCUGAAAAUGUACUGUGCUUCUACAAUUUCUCUAGGUACCACGGUAUCACCAUGGAUUGUUACCCUAGAUGCUUUGAAGCCUUUCAUGUGUGAUGCUCCUAAGCAGGUGAGGAAACAUUCUUUAAGAUUUAUCGUUGGAAUAAUCAGUUAAUCACUAGCGCUUAGUUAACACCGGUCAGUUUGGUUAGUUUUUCUAAUCAGCAUUUUAUAGAACUUCGAUCCAUGGUGACCUAAUUCUCCUUGCAUUACAGGAACCCGAGCCUUUACCGUACUUAGCCGAAAAGAAUCACAUAAAUUAUGACAUUCCUCUUGAAGUAUGACAUUGCUACCUUGCAGCUUCUUCUUCGCUAUUAUUUAUGUCAUAAAAAGAGAUCUAACUGGGACACUUUUUUUCUCCUUUGAAAGGCCUGGAUUAAGCCGAAAGAUCAAAAUGACGCAUCAAUUGUCACAAAAACUAAUUUCAAGCAUCUGUAAGCACACUGCAUAUUCGUUUUUUUUUCACUUUAAAUACUAACGUGUGCUCCUGCACCGUUCGAGAAAAAGAAAUACUAAUGUGUGUUAAUAGGAUCCCAACUAUUCAACCAUAUAAUGUUUUGCCAUAGCACAUAACAGUGCUGGCACAUUUCUUGUAACCAAUUUUUGCACAGGUAUUGGACGCUGACACAGCAGCUAGCACACCACACCAUCAACGGAUGCAACAUGAGGCCGGGGGAUAUAUUUGCGACUGGCACACUGAGUGGACCUGUAUGGAGUAAACAUUGCAACUUCUAUACCCAUAGUAUGAAUCUUACUUUGACAUGUGCCAUUUCAGGAACCGGACUCCCUCGGGUGUCUGCUGGAGCUGACAUGGAACGGGCAGAAGGAGAUACCGGUGGGGAAUUUGACCCGCAAGUUCCUAGAAGAUGGAGAUGAAGUCAUCUUGACAGGAUGUUGCAAGGUACUGUGAGUUCGUCUUUCCUGAUCAAUUCAGAUCUAGGCCUCUACAGUGACGCUAGGCUGUAUUUUGAUUCCACCAUCCGCUGGUUCUUCAGGGUGAAGGCUACAACAUUGGUUUUGGAACCUGCACCGGGAAGGUUCUGCCGGCACUUCCCUGAGCCAACACGUCUUGGCAUCAGUUCUCCGGAGUCUCAACGAUCUCAGCUAUCAGAGAGUUGUCUCAACGGUCUCAACUAUCAAAGAGUUCAUGCCGCUAUCUAGCAAGGCUGCUAUGUAACUGAACAAUAUGAAUAUGGGUUGUUUUCCUGGGCUGUUGAAGAUGAGGAGACUGAUGCUCUGUUGUGCAAUAAAACCGCUUCACCAUUUUAUACGAUGUCUCCCUCUAUUUAAGAGUUGGGUUGUGUUCUUAAACUUGUACAUUGCAAUGUCCUCUGUGGCAUGAAAUUUAGAUCAUGUAUAUAUUUUGAAUGGAAUUAUAGAUCCACACUAGUAGAAUGAAUAAGAAAGUUCGCAGAUUGCCAGAGGCCUAAAAAAAGACUGGCGAGAGUGAGAAAGAGAGAGGUGACGAAGAGUGAGUGAUGGAUGCAAGUAGGUUCAGACGCAGGCGAGCUCCUUCGCCAUGCCAAUGGACUUGCCGAUGGCGUUCUUGCAGACGGACAUGGUCUUGUUGUCGGACCUGUUGUACUUGAUGUCGACGUUGAUGAGCUGCACGCCCUGGCAGGGCAGGUUGUUGGCGCAGUUGAGCGUGAUGGCCUCCGGCGUGUUGGAGGUGCCGUGGAUGUUCUUGAAGACGACGUCGUUGACGGCCACCUUGGAGGCGCCGGACUUGACGCAGAUGUUGUUGGGGCAGUACUUCUGGUCUAUGAUGAUGGGGUAGGAGACGUUGUCCAUGGUGACGUCCUGGUACAGGAACUUGGUGGCCUUGAGCGACGACUUGGAGUCCUCGUACGACUUGAUGCGCAGGCCGUUGGUGGUGCCGGCGAGCGUGCACCCCGUCACCUUCACGUCCUCCACGUCCUUCUCGUCCUUGUACCGCCCCAGGCUGCCGACGCUGAUGCCGUGGCCCGGGCCGCACUUGACGCCCUUCACGCGGAUGGUCUUGCUCCCGGGGCCGAUGGAGACGCAGUCGUCGCCGACGGCGAUGGUGGUGCCGCUGAUGGUCACGUUGCUCGAGUCGCCGAUGUGGAUGCCGUCCGUGUUGGGGCUGUUGCCGGGGGCCUUGAUCGUCACCUUGUCGAUCACCACGUUCUUGCUCCCGAAGAUGUUCAUGUGGAAGAACUUGCUGUUCAGCAGCGUGAUGCCGCGGAUCUGGGCGUUCGUCACGAAGUCCAGCACCAGGCUCUGCACGCGUUCGCCGUUGCGAUUUACAUCACAUCACCUUCCGAAGCAGGGGACAGACAGAGAAAGAAGAAGCACGUACGUUGGGGAGGAUUUUGCAGUUGUAGGAACGCUGGCACUCGUUCUUGUUCCACACCAGGGCUCCCUGCCCGUCGAUGGUGCCGUGGCCGUUGAUGGACAGGUUGUCGACGUUCUGGAUCUCGAUCCAGUUCCUCUUGUACGCGUUGAGGUCGCCGGUGCC
rnacentral:lncRNA from 1 species